AACGAACGCUGGCGGCAGGCUUAACACAUGCAAGUCGAGCGCCCCGCAAGGGGAGCGGCAGACGGGUGAGUAACGCGUGGGCAUCUACCCAUCCCUACGGAAUAACGCACGGAAACGUGUGCUAAUACCGUAUACGUCCUUCGGGAGACAGAUUUAUCGGAGAUAGAUGAGCCCGCGUUGGAUUCGCUGGUUGGUGGGGUAAAGGCCGACCAAGGCGACGAUCCAUAGCUGGUCUGAGAGGAUGAUCAGCCACACUGGGACUGGGACACGGCCCAGACUAAUACGUGAGGCAGCAGUGGGGAAUAUUGGACAAUGGGCGCAGGCCUGAUCCAGCCAUGCCGCGUGAGUGAUGAAGGCCCUAGGGUUGUAAAGCUCUUUCACCGGUGAAGAUAAUGACGGUAACCGGAGAAGAAGCCCCGGCUAACUUCGUGCCAGCCGCCGCCGUAAUAC
rnacentral:rRNA from 1 species